AUGACAAAACCAAAAUGUGAUGGUGGUAUUGGAUUUCGGGAUAUGCACAUGUUUAAUCAGGCUUUGCUAGCUAGGCAAGGUUGGAGACUGCUUCAUAAGCCAGACAGUCUCUGUCCUAGCGUACUGAAAUCGAAAUACUACCCUAAUGGUAAUCUCCUCAAUACAGUCUUCUCGUCGGAUGCAUCCCCUGUGUGGAGGGGAAUUGAGUUUGGCCUGGACCUUCUAUAA
rnacentral:rRNA from 1 species